UACGUAGGGCGCGAGCGUUGUCCGGAAUUAUUGGGCGUAAAGAGCUCGUAGGCGGUUUGUUGCGUCGGAUGUGAAAGCCCGGGGCUUAACCCCGGGUCUGCAUUCGAUACGGGCAGACUGGAGUGUGGUAGGGGAGAUCGAAUUCCUGGUGUAGCGGUGAAAUGCGCAGAUAUCAGGAGGAACACCGGUGGCGAAGGCGGAUCUCUGGGCCAUUACUGACGCUGAGGAGCGAAAGCGUGGGGAGCGAACAGG
rnacentral:rRNA from 1 species